ACACACACACACACAUAUAUAUACACACACACACACAUACAUUCAGAAUAUAUAUAUAUUCUGGUGAGUGGUCUUUGAUGUAUUAUUGAGUCUUUAUUUUGUAUUUCCCUGAUGACAAUCAAUGUUUUCACAGGAAGAUGGGCCAUUGGAUAUCCAUGAUAGGGAAAUUGAAAUCAAGUAUACUUAGUCAUUUUUCUUUGGGGUCAUUUCUAUUGAUUUGACAGAAUUUUUUAUAUUUUCAGGAUAUGAGUUCCUUUCAGCCAUACUAAUUGCAAAUAUCUCCACCUACUUUGUGGUUUAUCCUCUCACUGUCUUAACGGUAUCUUUGAUGAACAGAAGUUCUUAAUUUUAAUUUAUGCAGUAAAUCAAUUGUUUCCUUUACAGUGCAUUCUGUAUUCUGUUUACAAAAGACGUGCUUACUUAAAGUCAUGAAAAUAUUUCCCUUUGACAUUUAGAUCUGUAACCCACCUGGAAGUGAUUUUUUAUAUAUGGUAUGCAGAGAGGGGUCAAAAUUUACUCUUUUCAUUGUAGGUAUCCAGUUGGCCCAGCACCACUUAUGAUGUCAUUCUUUCUUCCACUGCACUCACCUGUAGCUUAAGGAAUUCUGACUGGCAGUUUUUUUCUUUCAGCACAUUACCAAUAUUUUUCCAUUGUCUUCUGGAUUUUAUCUCUCCUAUUGGAAAGUCAGUGGUAAUCUAUAAAUAGUGUAUGUGAGAAUAUGCCUUCAAAAUAUCUCUGUCAAAGUCAUCUCUCAUCUGUCUUACGUGGCACAACUCUGAAGAAUCAAUUCUGCCAUAUGAGCAUUUGGAUGAGUGGCUGACUCUGGAGCCCAGGCUGUUGCUUCCCAGUCUGGUGAUGAAUCCUCCAUAGUCUGGUGAGUGUAAAUAUAUAUAUAUAUAUC